AUUGAACGCUGGCGGCAUGCCUUACACAUGCAAGUCGAACGGCAGCGCGGGGCAACCUGGCGGCGAGUGGCGAACGGGUGAGUAAUAUAUCGGAACGUACCCUGGAGUGGGGGAUAACGUAGCGAAAGUUACGCUAAUACCGCAUACGAUCUAAGGAUGAAAGUGGGGGAUUCGCAAGAACCUCAUGCUCCUGGAGCGGCCGAUAUCUGAUUAGCUAGUUGGUGGGGUAAAGGCCCACCAAGGCUUCGAUCAGUAGCUGGUCUGAGAGGACGACCAGCCACACUGGAACUGAGACACGGUCCAGACUCCUACGGGAGGCAGCAGUGGGGAAUUUUGGACAAUGGGCGCAAGCCUGAUCCAGCAAUGCCGCGUGAGUGAAGAAGGCCUUCGGGUUGUAAAGCUCUUUUGUCAGGGAAGAAACGGUGGGGGCUAAUAUCCCUUGCUAAUGACGGUACCUGAAGAAUAAGCACCGGCUAACUACGUGCCAGCAGCCGCGGUAAUACGUAGGGUGCAAGCGUUAAUCGGAAUUACUGGGCGUAAAGCGUGCGCAGGCGGUUUUGUAAGUUUGUCGUGAAAGCCCCGGGCUCAACCUGGGAAUUGCGAUGAAGACUGCAAGGCUUGAAUCUGGCAGAGGGGGGUAGAAUUCCAUGUGUAGCAGUGAAAUGCGUAGAGAUGUGGAGGAACACCGAUGGCGAAGGCAGCCCCCUGGGUCAAGAUUGACGCUCAUGCACGAAAGCGUGGGGAGCAAACAGGAUUAGAUACCCUGGUAGUCCACGCCCUAAACGAUGUCUACUAGUUGUCGGGUUUUAAUUAACUUGGUAACGCAGCUAACGCGUGAAGUAGACCGCCUGGGGAGUACGGUCGCAAGAUUAAAACUCAAAGGAAUUGACGGGGACCCGCACAAGCGGUGGAUGAUGUGGAUUAAUUCGAUGCAACGCGAAAAACCUUACCUACCCUUGACAUGUCAGGAAGUCUUGAGAGAUCAGGAUGUGCCCGAAAGGGAGCCUGAACACAGGUGCUGCAUGGCUGUCGUCAGCUCGUGUCGUGAGAUGUUGGGUUAAGUCCCGCAACGAGCGCAACCCUUGUCAUUAGUUGCUACGAAAGAGCACUCUAAUGAGACUGCUGGUGACAAACCGGAGGAAGGUGGGGAUGACGUCAAGUCCUCAUGGCCCUUAUGGGUAGGGCUUCACACGUCAUACAAUGGUACAUACAGAGGGCCGCCAACCCGCGAGGGGGAGCUAAUCCCAGAAAGUGUAUCGUAGUCCGGAUUGUAGUCUGCAACUCGACUACAUGAAGUUGGAAUCGCUAGUAAUCGCGGAUCAGCAUGUCGCGGUGAAUACGUUCCCGGGUCUUGUACACACCGCCCGUCACACCAUGGGAGCGGGUUUUACCAGAAGUAGGUAGCUUAACCGUAAGGGGGGCGCUUACCACGGUAGGAUUCGUGACUGGGGUG
rnacentral:rRNA from 1 species